rnacentral:sRNA from 1 species
GGUUGGGCUCGCGGCGCUGUGAUUGGUCUGCCCGGACUCCGCCUCCAGCGCAUGUCAUUAGCAUCUCAUUAGCUGUCCGCUCGGGCUCUGGAGGCAGCCAACGCCGCCAGUCUGAGGCAGGUGCCCGACAUGGCGAGUGUAGUGCUGCCGAGCGGAUCCCAGUGUGCGGCGGCAGCGGCGGCGGCGGCGCCUCCCGGGCUCCGGCUCCGGCUUCUGCUGUUGCUCUUCUCCGCCGCGGCACUGAUCCCCACAGGUGAUGGGCAGAAUCUGUUUACGAAAGACGUGACAGUGAUCGAGGGAGAGGUUGCGACCAUCAGUUGCCAAGUCAAUAAGAGUGACGACUCUGUGAUUCAGCUACUGAAUCCCAACAGGCAGACCAUUUAUUUCAGGGACUUCAGGCCUUUGAAGGACAGCAGGUUUCAGUUGCUGAAUUUUUCUAGCAGUGAACUCAAAGUAUCAUUGACAAACGUCUCAAUUUCUGAUGAAGGAAGAUACUUUUGCCAGCUCUAUACCGAUCCCCCACAGGAAAGUUACACCACCAUCACAGUCCUGGUCCCACCACGUAAUCUGAUGAUCGAUAUCCAGAAAGACACUGCGGUGGAAGGUGAGGAGAUUGAAGUCAACUGCACUGCUAUGGCCAGCAAGCCAGCCACGACUAUCAGGUGGUUCAAAGGGAACACAGAGCUAAAAGGCAAAUCAGAGGUGGAAGAGUGGUCAGACAUGUACACUGUGACCAGUCAGCUGAUGCUGAAGGUGCACAAGGAGGAUGAUGGGGUCCCAGUGAUCUGCCAGGUGGAGCACCCUGCGGUCACUGGAAACCUGCAGACCCAGCGGUAUCUAGAAGUACAGUAUAAGCCUCAAGUGCACAUUCAGAUGACUUAUCCUUUACAAGGCCUAACCCGGGAAGGGGACGCGCUUGAGUUAACAUGUGAAGCCAUCGGGAAGCCCCAGCCUGUGAUGGUAACUUGGGUGAGAGUCGAUGAUGAAAUGCCUCAACACGCCGUACUGUCUGGGCCCAACCUGUUCAUCAAUAACCUAAACAAAACAGAUAAUGGUACAUACCGCUGUGAAGCUUCAAACAUAGUGGGGAAAGCUCACUCGGAUUAUAUGCUGUAUGUAUACGAUUCCCGAGCAGGUGAAGAAGGCUCGAUCAGGGCAGUGGAUCAUGCCGUGAUCGGUGGCGUCGUGGCGGUGGUGGUGUUCGCCAUGCUGUGCUUGCUCAUCAUUCUGGGGCGCUAUUUUGCCAGACAUAAAGGCCUGUUUUCUCUAACCUCCUCUCCCAGAAUAAAGUGAUGAGGGCAGCUAUAGUGUUGCAAUUAGGAACAUGAAUCUUUUAUCGUUUGGACAAGGAAGGGAAAAUGCCAUUACUGUCAACUGAAAUGUCCUACUUGGGUUUUUUGCUCCUACUUCCCUGCCAAAGCCCAUUGCUGCUGCUGAAAUUGUAUAACAUUCACAGCUGUUCUUGAUGGCUUGAUUCUUAACACAGCCAGAAAUGUAGCCCGGGAGAUGCUUAAGACAGUUUAUGGAAAAUAAUAGAUUUCCUUGCAGAGACACCAAUGCAUCGAGAAGGGCCUUGAGUCACGUUAGCCCCAGCCAAGAUCACCAAUCUUCUCUCUAUCUGGCUUCAGUUACAAAGGCUAUGCUUU